GGGGUAAUGGCGGAACAGGUAGACGCUGCGGACUUAAAAUCCGUUGACUCUUAAAAGUCGUGAGGGUUCGAGUCCCUCUUUCCCCA
rnacentral:tRNA from 1 species